rnacentral:lncRNA from 1 species
CAGCAAAGCUCUGUCUGGAGGGAUGUUGUUUGCACGGUCAGCUUAUUUGUUUCAAUGAAAUGAGGGUUAGGUGCGAGGCGUUUCAUCAGCGAUAUAAUAUUGCUUCAUUUUGUAGUAGGGGAAGCUGAUUGUUUCUGUUCCUUCAGAAUAAUUUAAACAAUAUAUCACAUUUGAAGAUAUAUGUUCUGAUGUUAGGUUGUUGGAUAUAAGGAAAAUGUUAAAACAAUUCACAGCCAUCUCAGACAUUAGAAGAAGCAGGGUUGAGCCGCCUGAGGGAUUGCAGUAAGGUGUGAAGGGCCCCAUGGCUGGGUUGCAGGAUUGGCAGUGAAUCAGAUAGCCAAAACAUGGUUUCUUCAGGGUAUUUUUGAGGGUUGUAGUUGUGCAUUAAUUUACAUCGCAGUAAAGUGAGUGCGCAUAAAAGACUUCAUGAGAGUUGCACUGGGCUCUUGGCUCAGGUUGAAGUUUCCAAGGAUGUCUAGCUUGGAGAUUACGGGUUGUUAAUGUACUUUUAUUUCCUUCUGUUAUUGUUGUCACUGUAUCCGGAACAAAGGUGUGGAAUUCUAUUAUGGGAGGAGGAUUCUGGGAAUUGAGGGGUUAUNN